rnacentral:rRNA from 1 species
GACGAACGCUGGCGGCGUGCCUAAUACAUGCAAGUCGAGCGGUUUUUACCUUCGGGUAAGAGUAGCGGCGGACGGGUGAGUAACACGUAGGUAACCUGCCUACCAGACUGGGAUAACUACCGGAAACGGUAGCUAAGACCGGAUACGUCAACUUGGGGGCAUCCCGGAGUUGAGAAAAGCGGAGCAAUCUGCUGCUGGAAGAUGGACCUGCGGCGCAUUAGCUAGUUGGUGAGGUAGAGGCUCACCAAGGCGACGAUGCGUAGCCGACCUGAGAGGGUGAACGGCCACACUGGGACUGAGACACGGCCCAGACUCCUACGGGUGGCUG